rnacentral:snRNA from 2 species
GUCCCUUCGGGGACAUCUGAUAAAAUUGAAACGAUACAGAGAAGAUUAGCAUGGUCCCCGCACAAUGAUGACAGAAAUGGUCCAAAAAAUUCAUAAAAAAAGAAUUUCUU